AUACUUUGGUGGUAUAUAUACUAAAGUCGGAACAAUACAGAGAAGAUUAGCAUGGCCCCUGCGCACAGAUGACACACAAGUUCAUGAAGCGUCCACAUUUCUU